rnacentral:rRNA from 1 species
GACGAACGCUGGCGGCGUGCUUAACACAUGCAAGUCGAACGGAAAGGCCCUGCUUUUGUGGGGUGCUCGAGUGGCGAACGGGUGAGUAACACGUGAGUAACCUGCCCUUGACUUUGGGAUAACUUCAGGAAACUGGGGCUAAUACCGGAUAGGAGCUCCUGCUGCAUGGUGGGGGUUGGAAAGUUUCGGCGGUUGGGGAUGGACUCGCGGCUUAUCAGCUUGUUGGUGGGGUAGUGGCUUACCAAGGCUUUGACGGGUAGCCGGCCUGGGAGGGUGACCGGCCACAUUGGGACUGGGAUACGGCCCAGACUCCUCCGGGAGGCAGCAGUGGGGAAUAUUGCACAAUGGGCGGAAGCCUGAUGCAGCAACGCCGCGUGCGGGAUGACGGCCUUCGGGUUGUAAACCGCUUUCGCCUGUGCCGAAGCGUGAGUGACGGUAAUGGGUAAAGAAGCACCGGCUAACUACGUG